AUCAAUGCGCAGCUACAGCUGGUUGAAGGGGACCAAAUCCAUCCAACAGCUGAUUUGGUUCCAUUUUACCAGCUUCAGCAAAGCAUU
rnacentral:pre_miRNA from 1 species